rnacentral:misc_RNA from 1 species
CUGUUGCUCCUCCUGUGCAUUUUCCACCUUCUCCAAUCACUCCCUUCUUGAAUAGCUUGUCAAAAAAAGAUCUCGAGGAAAAUGGUCCGGCAUAUUCUCAGCUCUCCCAUCCUGUACAUGAGAACCUGUUGACAACAAGUGUCAAGUUUCAAAGUAAAAGAGGAAGCAUGGCGGACAUGAUAUUGCAUGAACUUCUUCUACAUGGUGAUUCUGCCCAAAAAUACAUACAAGGAUCCAGAGGCAAAAAAAUUGACAAUUGGAUCCUUCUUGAUAAUUAUGCACAAGGACGUGGCAAAUCUACCAGCUCUCAUAUUAGAGCUUUGAAAGCCCACUCAAGGCGCUCUAAAAGGCACAUGUCUAUGAAGCAACAUAAAAAAUGUGGAUCUUUUGUUCUGCCCCAAGAUCUCCAAAAGUUUGCUGUUUUUAAGCCAAUGCAUGAGAUGUGGAAAGGCUACAUGAUGCAGCUUCUCAAAAAUACUGGGACAAAUCAAUUGGCUCAGUGUCUUCUUAGUGCUGAUCUACAUGGUGCUGUUAUUCUGG